rnacentral:rRNA from 1 species
UCUGUUGAGGACGGCCGGUCCGCACUAUGUGCGUGUUUCUGGGUCGGCCUUGGCAUCCUCUUGAGGAUUUUUCCUGCGCUUGAUUGCGUGGGGCGGUAUUCAAGACUUUUACUUUGAGGAAAUUAGAGUGUUCACGGCAGGCAAGCGCCUUGAAUACAUUAGCAUGGAAUAAUAAUAUAGGAUCUUGGUUCUAUUUGUUGGUUUCUAGGGCUAAAGUAAUGAUUAAUAGGGAUAAUUGGG